GUCCCCGUAGUUCAAUGGACAGAACGAAAGCCUUCUAAGCUUUAGAUGUGGGUCCGAUUCCUGCCGGGGACA
rnacentral:tRNA from 1 species